rnacentral:rRNA from 1 species
GCUACACAUGCAAGUCGAACGGUAACAGGAAGCAGCUUGCUGCUUCGCUGACGAGUGGCGGACGGGUGAGUAAUGUCUGGGAAACUGCCUGAUGGAGGGGGAUAACUACUGGAAACGGUAGCUAAUACCGCAUAACGUCGCAAGACCAAAGAGGGGGACCUUCGGGCCUCUUGCCAUCGGAUGUGCCCAGAUGGGAUUAGCUAGUAGGUGGGGUAACGGCUCACCUAGGCGACGAUCCCUAGCUGGUCUGAGAGGAUGACCAGCCACACUGGAACUGAGACACGGUCCAGACUCCUACGGGAGGCAGCAGUGGGGAAUAUUGCACAAUGGGCGCAAGCCUGAUGCAGCCAUGCCGCGUGUAUGAAGAAGGCCUUCGGGUUGUAAAGUACUUUCAGCGGGGAGGAAGGCGAUAAGGUUAAUAACCUUGUCGAUUGACGUUACCCGCAGAAGAAGCACCGGCUAACUCCGUGCCAGCAGCCGCGGUAAUACGGAGGGUGCAAGCGUUAAUCGGAAUUACUGGGCGUA